UGGGCAACCUGCCCUCAGCUCUGGGAUAACUCCAAGAAAUUGGUGCUAAUACCGGAUGUGACCGCUGACCGCAUGGUCUGGUGGUGGAAAGAUUCAUCGGCUGAGGAUGGGCCCGCGGCCUAUCAGCUUGUUGGUGGGGUGAUGGCCCACCAAGGCGACGACGGGUAGCCGGCCUGAGAGGGUGACCCGGCCACACGUGGGACUGAGACACGGCCCAGACCUCCGUAGGGAGG
rnacentral:rRNA from 1 species